AUGGGCGCGCACCAGGCCCAGCUCGCGCGCUGGCUGCAGCUCCUCGCUGCCAAGGGCGUCCAGGAGCUUGUGCUCGUCAACCGCCCGUGGCCGUUUGAUGUGCCCCUCCCGGACACGCUCUUCGGCAUCAGCACGCUCGUUCGCCUCUACAUCGGCCUCUGGAAGCUCCCAGACACAGCCGGCCUCCGCGGCGCCUGCUUCCCCAACCUCCGGGAGCUCGGCAUCUGCACCGUCGUGAUGGAGCAGGGGGACGUCGAAUCCAUCGUCGCCAGCAGUCCUGUACUGGAGAUCCUGAACGUCCAGGGAAGCCACAGGGGGCUCCGCCUACGCCUCGUCAGCCAGAGCCUACGCUGCGUGCAAGUCUGCAGCUCAGUUGUGGAGAGCAUCAUGGUGGUGAAGGCUCCAUGCCUCGAGCGGCUCGUCCUAGAGGGAUGUCGGCACACGGCUGCUGGCCUAUCUACUAGGGUCAGCAUUGUUGAUGCCCCAAAGUUGCAUUCGCUUGGAUCAUUGGAGCCUGGAAAUCAUGUGUUGGAGAUCAGAGGCACUAUCAUAACGGCUGGGGUUAAGGUGAGCAGAAGCAGCAUUCUCACAAGCAUCAGGACCCUCAGCUUACAUGUGCGUUUCGCGGUCCCCAAUGAGGCAAAUAUGGUUUCAACAUAUCUCCAAUUCUGUCCAAAUGUCGUGCGACUGCAUAUCACGUCCAGAAAAUGUAAUCAGCACACUGGUAAUCUCAGGCUCAAUUGCAAGGUGGGUCCCACUGAUAGUGCCAUGUCGCGCAUCAAAGUAAUGUAUUUCCGUGAAUUCCGAGGGGAACAAAGCGAGAUUGCCUUCCUCAAGCUCUUCUAUAAGAGCGCGAAGAUGCUGGAGGCUGCUGUGGUAAUUAUGGCGAACCCAAGCUUCACACCGUUUCGGGCAGAUGUGGCGUUUUCCAGAGCGUGGCAAGCGUCUAAGGUCAGUAGGUGCCAAGCCAGCAUGGUUCUUGAGGGCACAGGUCCUGAAGGUGGCAAGGCGUGGAGUUUCAAAAAUGCAAGUUAUUUUCCAUCCGAGGAAAUUCUCCCAACGAAAGUCAUCAACCUAGGGCAGUAG
rnacentral:rRNA from 1 species